AAGAAAAGACUACUCUGUAGAUUUCCAGAAUAAUUCUAACUGAUCAAAUUAUUGAAAAAUGUGACUUUAAAGAGAUAUUGAUUAAAAAUUUUAAUUGACCCUGCCCUUAAUUUAUCUUCAUUUUAAGACACACAGCACAUAACGAUUAUUUUUUAAGGAAAAGUAGGUUAUCUGGAAUUCAACUUUUAAUCUCAUUAAAAUCUCAUGUGGCUAUACUAUUUCUUCAGUCAUAUAUCCAGGUAGACACUUAAUAAAUGCUUUUAAAAAUGGAAACAUAUUUUACAUUCUACUUAAAGAUAAACCACUAUCUUCAAUAAGUUUCUCUACAUUUCUGUUAAUCAUUCAUAUAAAGCAAGAAUUUCCACCAGUCUUCGCUAUUCAAAAGAGACAAAUUGCUCCCAUUAUUUACAAAUCUUUAUGUCAAAAAGUUCUGGUGUCCCAUAAAAGACGUCUUAUGUAUACUGUGUCAACGUGUAUUUCUUUACUCUAUGUUAUCAAUUUCUGGUCAGGAGAAAGGAUGGAUAUAAGGUGGUUAUACAGUGUGAUCUGUGAAAGAAGAGAGUAUAACUGAAUAGAAAUGAGAAGAAAUUCCAAAGUUAUCACUGAAAUUAUUAGAAACACUGGAUUGCCUAUCUUGCGUUUCUCAGAGCACCAACUCUGACUUAAGUUAUUAAGAGAAGUUUUAUACAAGGCAUAGUCUACAGAUAAUAGGAUCAUGAAAUUCUAAGUUAUCCAAGAAGUCAUCACCACUUGGAACUCCUUCAUUAUAUCAAAUUCUAUUUACAGAAGAUAGAGUACCUUCCUUUUAUAACUAAGGAAAUUGAGGCUCAGGGAUGUGAAAUGCCUUCUCAGGUACAAAAUUAAUACGAAGCUAAACCUAAGUCAGGUCUUCUGACACCACACUUCAGGUAACUGAAUUUGAAUUCGAUUAUCCUGCUGUUAGUGAGUAGAACAAGCAAAAUACAGAGCACAGGACAAGUACAAGUGAGUAUGGGAACAAAGAUGAAGAGAAAAUAAACAUAAGGAGUUGAGACAGGAGCCUAUCAGACAACGUAGCAGAGCAGAAUCAGAGAGAAGGAGAGAGACUGAAGAUGACAGACAAGCACACAGAAAAAAAUCAGAGCUACAAAGAGGCACUGAAAAGAAUAUAGCUAAUGCCUCACCAUUGGACCAGCAAAACAAGAGCAAUGCUAGAGGAAGGAGUGGCGAUGUUAGACUUCUUGAAAGACAGUAUAGCCUACCAUUUCUGACUUAUGCUAAGUGUUCUGACAACAAAAGGCAACCUUGAGAAGAACAGUAAUUUAUGGUUCUACACGUCUACCACAACUCUGGAGCCAUCAGCCUUUCCGAGUAUAACACGAACGUGGUCAGUCAAGGAAUCGGCUUCCCAUUCGCAUUUAACCAACCCCCUGUUAAUGUUUUUUCAAAACCAAGUGUAAUGUGACCCCUCGAAGUUCAAAGUCAUCAAAGGAUAGUAAAAGCAAAAGUCAUAAUAAUAUUCAUACCCAGGCGCCGCCUCACUUAUGAUCACUUUCAAUGCUGCUCAGCAGGUUUUCCACUAUCACUAAUACUGAAUGAAAACAAACACAUCAUUAAAUCAUAGAGUGCUAAACACCUACAGAGUCAGCCUUCUCUUAGAUUCAACCAUUUCUUUCUGCUCCCCAACCUAUUUUUCUUUGUUUUGCAAUUUUAAAGGGUAGUACCCAAACCACUAAUCACUCAAUCUCUUCAAAACAACAUUGCCUGGCCCAUCUCUUUGUGACAAUAAACUCUUGGUAAGUAAUAAAUAAAUAAAGUAAAUAAAUAAUCAACCCCCUAAGUGUCCCUUAAGAAAACAGUAAUAAUCCUCUAAAUUUCCCUUAUGCUGUAAUCAAAUGGCUUUUAAAAGAUUAAGGUAAAAAGAUUAAAAAGAGUUAGCAAUAUACUAAAGGAAAAAGGAACAAAUUAAAACCAAGGAGCUAAAAUUUUGCCAUAUGAGAUAUAAUAAAAAUAAGGGGAAAAUUUGGAAACGAAACUCCACAUAAACUAAGAACUUUUUAUCUGCCACACCGGUAAAUAUGGAAAGUUCCCCAACCCCCACAAAGGCUUUUGCUCAUUCCUUCACUGAGUAUAAGAGACACCUUAAGAGAAGUAGCAAAUCCAUGGAAGACUCUAAAGUCCAACAAUUAUUUUCCUUAAGUCAUGAUACUGAAUCACAUACUCUUCCUUAGAGAUGAUGUAAAGUGAUCAACAGAAUUACUGAUCACGAGCAGUUAAUUCUUCUCAAUCCUACAAAUUUCACAUUUUUAAUGCAUCCCCACCCUAAAAAAUAAAUCAACUUAGUGCAUACCAGAAUUAGAACAGACUCCACUCCAUCUUUCUUCAGAUUGAUUUAACAUGAACA